UACGAAGGGAGCUAGCGUUGUUCGGAAUCACUGGGCGUAAAGCGCACGUAGGCGGAUGUGUCAGUCAGGGGUGAAAGCCCGAGGCUCAACCUCGGAACUGCCUUCGAUACUGCGGGUCUCGAGUCCGGGAGAGGUGAGUGGAAUUCCUAGUGUAGAGGUGAAAUUCGUAGAUAUUAGGAAGAACACCAGUGGCGAAGGCGGCUCACUGGCCCGGUACUGACGCUGAGGCGCGAAAGCGUGGGGAGCAAACAGG
rnacentral:rRNA from 1 species